rnacentral:rRNA from 1 species
GACGAACGCUGGCGGCGUGCUUAACACAUGCAAGUCGAACGGAAAGGCCCUGCUUUUGUGGGGUGCUCGAGUGGCGAACGGGUGAGUAAAACGUGAGUAAACUGCCCUUGACUUUGGGAUAACUUCAGGAAAAUGGGGCUCAUACCGGAUAGGAGCUCCUGCUGCAUGGUGGGGGUUGGAAAGUUUCGGCGGUUGUGGAUGGAUUCGCGGCUUAUCAGCUUGUUUGUGGGGUAGUGGCUUACCAAGGCUUUGAAGGGUAGGCGGCCUGAGAGGGUGACCGGCCACAUUGGGACUGAGAUACGGCCCAGACUCCUACGGGAGGCAGCAGUGGGGAAUAUUGCACAAUGGGCGGAAGCCUGAUGCAGCAACGCCGCGUGCGUGAUGACGGCCUUCGGGUGGUGAACCGCUUUCGCCUGUGACGAAGCGUGAGUGACGGUAAUUGGUAAAGAAGCACCGGCUAACUACGUG